GAUGGACGUACACGCUCCAUGAUAAACGCCCUUACCAUUCCAUACUGCUCUGCAGUCAACACUCCCAAAUCUGGAAAUGCUAACCAAAACUUCAAUGGUAAAGGAAGUAUGCCAGUCGGCGAAAACAUUAAGAGAUAAAGGCGCUUCCAACGUUUAGAUGCCGGAAGACCUUGACGUGAGUAGGCCUUAUAAGAUCCACCGCGUAACCUGUACGAACAAAUCAAAGUCAUUGGUUCCGAAUUUGGUAGUUCUCCAUUGACUUCUCUCUUUACCCCUUUGCAUAUGUUCCUAAAAGGGUGUGCACCUCCAGAUGGGCGGGGGCCGGCCUCCCACUCUCUUAUGCAGCAUUUAUUAGCUUAGCUGAGUUAGGCGCGUACCCAAUUCAAUUAGUACUCGUCCGUGCCACCUUGUGUAAUGCAUAAAACCAAAUCGCUGACCGGUGGGGACUCUCCCAUCAAUGAAUGAGGUGCUUUUUAUGCACUCCCCAGCAUGUCUUAUUGGUUGGUGGAGAUCUCGACCUCUUCCGAGCCAAAGCUAAAAAGGAAGUCGGAGCUUGGUCCAUAUCGAGAAAAAACGUUCGUAAUGAACGGAUCUCCGAUGGUCGAGCCUGCCAAGGACACGGAACUCAGCACCACCUACCCGGGCCAAGGUACUCAACCGGUCUUUCAUGUGAAUUGCGAACAACCCACAAGGGUGGUAUGAAUGAAACAUAGUUUGAAUAGGGGCAAGUCUAGAGCUGUGGUAUGGAAAAUAUAUGAUAAAAAAACCAAAUCUCUUUACUUAGUCAGAGUCAUUGUUUUACCCUUUCUAUCUGCAUGACUGCUUUCUUCUUAUGAUGAGUAGUGCCCAUCACUCGCCUCUCUGUCCCUGUAUGAAGGAGCAUCCACUGCGCUUACUAGUGGGUAUGAUUAAAGUCAAGAGCGGGUCUCUCAGAAAAAGGACCUUAUCUGUAUCCGUCUCUGUUACUAGAACUAGCCACCCCUUGGGAACCGUGUCCCCUUUUCCCCUGCAAUGAAGGGCGGAUGGCUUAGCCUUGCC